rnacentral:rRNA from 1 species
AUUGAACGCUGGCGGCAGGAUUAACACUUGCAAGUCGAGCGCGCGGCGAACGGGUGAGUCAUGUCUGGGAACCUGGCUGAUGGAGGGGGAUAACUACUGGAAACGGUAGCUAAUACCGCAUAACAUCAGAUGUGCCCAGAUGGGAUUUGCUAGUAGGUGGGGUAAUGGCUCACAUAGGCGACGAUCCCUAGCUGGUCUGAGAUGAUGACCAGCCACACUGGAACGGAGACACGGUCCAGACUCCUACGGGAGGCAGCAGUGGGGAAUAUUGCACAAUGGGCGCAAGCCUGAUGCAGCCAUGCCGCGUGUGUGAAGAAGGCCUUCGGGUUGUAAAGCACUUUCAGCGAGGAGGCGUUACUCGCAGAUGAAGCACCGGCUAACUCCGUGCCAGCAGCCGCGGUAAUAC